rnacentral:rRNA from 1 species
GUGAGGAACCUGCCUUGGAGAGGGGGAAGUAAACAACUCCGAAAGGAAGUGCUAAUACCGCAUGAUGCAGUUGGGUCGCAUGGCUCUGACUGCCAAAGAUUUAUCGCUCUGAGAUGGCCUCGCGUCUGAUUAGCUAGUAGGCGGGGUAACGGCCCACCUAGGCGACGAUCAGUAGCCGGACUGAGAGGUUGACCGGCCACAUUGGGACUGAGACACGGCCCAGACUCCUACGGGAGGCAGCAUG